UAGGCAAAAGAACUCACUACACAAGUUUAAUAUAUUAGGCUUCAAAUUGCGUAUAUUUUAUAUUAAAUAUAUUGAGCAUUCACACACAAACACAAUUUGAGGCUAAAUGUUAAAGUAAAGCAAAUGGCUUUUGACAUUUUAAUUUUCUAAGGUAACAUGGCUAUCAGAUCCAACCUCUCCAGUUAUGAGGGCAUGCUGAAGAAACACUGCACAUUUGUAAAGCUGUUCUUUUACUAUAGAUUUCAGAAAUUCUUUCACAAAAUUUAGAGAAAUGAGCCAUUAAUAUAAGUAAAAUAUCCAGCAUAACUUUCAGUGAAGCUAUAGCUACAUAUUUAUGAGACUCUAUUACAAUUAUAUUAAAAAGAAUCAAACCCAUUUUUUUCUACAAUGUUUUUGCUUACCUAAGAUUCAUUUGAAUAAAUAGACAUAAAAGUUUCGAAAAUGCUAAUUCAAUUGACCACAAAAUCGAUCCUAAAAUUCCAGUUCCAUUUAGCCCUGGAAAUGAGACAUUAAGUAAAAACUUGAGGUUUGAACGUAUGUCAGAAACUGAAGAGACCAUUUUAGUUCAGCUCAAAAACUGCCUUUCAGGAAGAUAGUUUCCUAGAGUAUUAGGUAUUUGAGAUUUUUUUUAGCAGAUAGAGUAAAUAAACUACUGUUUCAGAACUAUACCAGUGUAUAGCUGUAUACAAACCAUGCAGUGAAUAUGAAUCAAGUCAGGAAACCAAGCAGUGACAAUGGAAGAGCCCAGUUUAUUGCCACAUUUUCUUGAUGUGUGCUUUGCUGUGUUUAAAAAAUUUACGGAAAAUUGUUUCAAAUUAAGAUAUUAUGGAAGAAAAUAAUUUCCCAAAUUCCAGUUAACUCAAAAGACCUGAGACACUGCAAUGCCUAUUUUUAUAGUCCUCAUUCUCAACUGUGACGGUAAUACCAACUUGACUUCCAAUUUAUAUCUCCUGACAACUUGGUACAGAAAACGAGUCCUCUUGUAAUUAAAGUUUUAUGUUUUCUUCUAAGUGACUGACUUUUUAAUAUAAAAUAUCUUAAUAAAAUUUUUUCAUCGAUAUGUCAUUUUUAGUUUCAGAACAAACUAAUGUAAUAAGUGAUUUGAAUUUUCUUACAAACCUGUGAAUUGCCCAAGGAAGGCAUUGUCAUACCAUUUUUAAUGAAGAAACAUUGAAGCCCAGAAUAAUUGUAAUUUAUCCAAGGAAACACAUGAAGUAAGUGGUAAAGACGAAAGAAGAAAAAACAACUUGAGAUUUUGCUCAUUAUAUUUUCUAUUAUCAUAGACCUUCAAAAAAAUAGUGUUCUGGUUUGGGAGGAUAAGAAGAGAGUUGAAAUUCAUUUCAAAAUCAGACUCUCCAAUCUUAAUUAGGCUUUAGUUUCCUUACAAAGAGUGUGAGAAUUCUUUAUUUAUUCUUUUAAAAAAAAUCCUAAUUGGGAAAAUGGCAUUAAAUUCUGUGUUUCAAAGUAACAAGAAAAAGAAAUAUGAAUAUUGCUGCUAAGCUGGCACUUCAUCGCUAUGUUGCAAUCCAUUGCCUAUUAUGAGGGAUUCAUUAUCCUAAGAAUGGACAAUAUCAUAGCAAUAUGGCGGACUAGAUAUGCUGAGGGCCACCCUCUCUGCAUAUUGCUAUACUUUUCACUGCAUUGUUGCUUACAAAAUUGCUUAAAAAAUAUAAGGAAAAUGCCACCAAGCCUUACACUUUUGCAAAAAGAAAGAAAAAUUUUAAGAAAGAAAAAGCUGGAUACCUUGAAGGUGAACUAUAAACAAACAGGGACCCUGAAGUUGCUCUGUGGGCAGCUGUCAACCAGUGCUGGGCUUGUGGAAGGCAGCAAGACACCUGCAUUAAGCCAGGACCCACCACAGGGUUAACAUCAUUUGAGGCCAGUUGUGCCCCUAGCUCCCAGAGUAUCUUCAAUCAAAUAUGAAUAAACAAUUAAAAAUCACCAAACACAGAAAACAAACCACCAUGAAUCAGAUGGUUCACAGAAACCCUCAAGUACUUCAGAUAUUGGAAUUAUCAGAAACAAAAAGAAAAAUCCAUGUAUAAAAUGUUUAAAGAAAGAGGGAAUGAAACAGGAAUAAUAAAGAGAUUAUCAGUGAUGGAGAAGUACUUACAAAAGAACCAAAUUGUACAUUUAAAAAUGAAUAAUACAGUCUUUGAAGCUGAAAAGUCAAUGGAGAGAGCAUAUACUACUACAUUUGACACUGCACAAGAGAGACUUGAUAAAAUAAGAGAUAGAUUGGAAGAAAUCAGCUAGGCUGCAGCUUAAAGAGAUAAGGACGAGGAUAAAAUGUGGAGGUCUAACAUACCUUUAACCAUUGUGAUCUCUGUUAUUCAGAAUUUCAGUAGACUAUUUCAUUGCCUUAUUUGACUCCCAUCUUUGAGUGAUGGUUUAACUUUGCCUGAGGCCUCCUCUGUCUGACUUUACAGCAACCUACAACUCUACACUACACAGUUUGAUUUAUUCAGCUAAUGAUCCAUUUAACAAAUAUUGUUAUAAAUGUAAGAAACCUCAAUUCUAGUGAAAAUAAAUUGUGUACAUUCAUCAAAACUUGUGGCACACCUAUGAAAAGUGAGCAGGAUGCCUAAGCAACUUGAAUUAAAGUCAGAUAACUAAA
rnacentral:lncRNA from 1 species